rnacentral:tRNA from 1 species
GGAGGGGUUCCCGAGUGGCCAAAGGGGGCAGACUGUAAAUCUGCUGUCGCUGACUUCGAUGGUUCAAAUCCAUCCCCCUCCACCA